UUUGCCCAAAGAGAAUGAUGUACAGUGCGUUUUGGUAGUGAUAGGUUUCCACAUUAGAUGAACUAAUGAUGGUAUUGUUCUGGGAGACGCACAAACCGAUCACACUUAUGUUCAUUGCGUUGUCUCCUCACCCGAUCAAGUAUAGUUUUUGACUUACAACUCAAACUCUAUUACCUGAAGCUUUAUAGUUCUUGUGGACCAGAGCUAGGGUGUCCUGUUUUGAGAGACGCCCCAACCGAUCACCCCUUGAGUUGUCUUCUCAUCCGAUCAAGUCGACUUCCGACUUACAACUCAAGCUCCACAAUUUUUGUGGACCAAAGCUAGGAGACUACUAUUUUGGGAGACGCUCCAGUCGAUCACGCCCGGGUUAAUCACGAUGUGUCCUCACCCGACCAAUUAUAAGGACGAUCAACUCCGACCGACCAACCAAGUAACUAUGGACCAGCUACCAAGUCAAGGGCACAAAGCUCGAGGAUGUACUAGGCACUCAUGACCGCUUCGAAGUGCGCAAUUCCAAACUCUAUAAAAGCCAAGGCCUAGAGAAUAUAAGGUACACAUGAAUCUAUCCCAUUUCCCAGUCCCUUAAACCCACGUUUUAACUUGAACGUCGGAGUACCAUUACAGGGACCCCUCCCGUACACGACUGACAACGGAGUACCGUGAAGAUCAUCACGCAACCCCCCUCACUGAAGUUUUGAUGUUCCUCCUCAAUUAACACUCAUCUAGGUGAUUUGGUCAGAUUUGUCCGAUUAGGUAUGUUUGUGUUAGAGUUAGGUCGAACGUGAAAGUCUUUUCAUUCUAUCCAACUCUUUUAUUCGUUUGAAAAAAUGAAUUUUUAACAUUAAGAAUUUAAAUCCUCGGCAACAAGUGAUUUUUAAAUCUAUGCAGAGAGAAGCUCUUGCAAAUAGUCUUUUGGAAGAGAACUAUUUUGGUAAAUGUUUGGAUUAUGUUUGUCAUAGAUUUUGAAUAGAAUGUAUUUUAGAAAAAUUGAUUAUAGUAAAAGUGAUUUAAAAGUGAAGUGAUAUAUGUUUGGAUACAAGUAAAAUAAUUUUUGUAAGGCAAUAUUGUGAAAUCUAGUUGUAUAUUUUUAGAAUAGAUUACAUUCAAUGCAUAAGAAUAAACUACUCUCUAAUUCCCGCGGAUAAUGAUUUAUCCUCCUACUUCAUCUACCUAAAAAAUCCUCCAACAUAAUUUUUUUUUUUGAAACUAUCCUCCUACAUAAAUAUUAAAUGAAAAGGUAAUGCAUUCGAAAUCUUGAAAGUGUAAAAGAAACAUUUAUUGCUUCAUUUAAUAUGUAGCAGGAUGAAAUAUGAGGAUAUAACAUUACUUGACUCUGGCAGAAUCGAUUCAUCGCCUAGAAUUAAUUUUUCAAAAUAACUCUCACUCAAACUUCCUUUUCUUUUUUCUGAAUGAAUAUGAUUUUAUUUUAAAAUCGUCAGCAAAUAAUGCUCAAGCUUAUCGAGUAAUAUUUAUUCACAUUUCUAUUUUUUUCAACUCAUUUCCACUCAUUUCUAUUCUUAUUUCUCUUUUUUAUUUAUAUCACACCAUUUAUCAUCUUUUAUUUUUCUUUCAUUUCUUCUUUAUCUCAUAAGGUGCAUGUGAAUUUAGUUUGUGAAAAAGGCAUUAUUCCAAGCUUAUCUAUUGGCAUCUACUACUUCUUAUUCUUCCACUACUGUAGCUAGAAGACCUCCAUUUACACUUCAACACGUGUCCUUCUUUGACUUAACUCUGUUUUAUAUUUUUUUUUCCAACUCAACCAAGCAAAAACGACGCCGUUUCCUUUCACACUGUUCAUCACCGUCUCUGAGUCUCUCAUCAACCCUAGGUCUCUAAUCGCGUGUUCUCUCCCUCUCUACCUACUGAUUUCGAGUUUUCGACGGUACCCAUCACAUCCCGCCAGACUCUUCGCUAGAUACAGUUCAUCCGCGUACGAGCAACUGUUCACUGAUAUGCUAGGUUUCCUCUUUCCCGUGGUUUUCUUCUCACAAACGGCGUUGUACAACUUUCAAUCAAGAAAGGGUUAUUAGGUAAGGAUGCAGAAGGAUAAGCGGAAAUCGUGGAAGGAGAAGGAGGAAGCGUGCUCUGUGCGGUUGAGUAUGAGAAGGAGAAGCGAAGAUCGUGGAACAACAGGGUACUCUUGCAUAUGAGGCAGAAAUUGGUUUUGAAAGGCUUGCAGAAACGUCUGGUCAUGUGUGUGGCAAACCUGAAACAAGAACUGAAGAUGCCAAGGUUGCUAACACAGCAAACCUACUGCUGCUGCUGGAAAAGAGGGAAAAGCUUUGAGCUUUUCUAGGUUGGAUGUGUUUGCUGCUGAACCAUUUGAGAACUUACCACUCCCCUUGCUGCAGAGAGAACAAGAAGGAAAGACCCUCUAAACAGCUUCAAUAAGUAGUUAAGUGGAUGGAAUAUCAAUGACCACCAUUAUUGGGCUCCCUUCACAGGUGGGGAGAUCUUUUUUUAUGCUUUAAUGGCGGUUGAGGCAUAGAGGCAUAGUCAGUGUCUAUAACCAAGUCGCGUGUGGCUUGCCUGACUAGGUUAUGAGGGAAUGUGCAUGUCAGGUGAAACUUGUGGAAUAGGAUUGAGCUUUCUAUGUGAGGAGUGCUAAAGGGGUUUGUCCCACAAGCUUGGCUGUGCUACGAGAUGCAGUUCCAAAAAUCUUCUUCAGCUGAAGGUCAUUGAGUGUUAAAGGAAGUCUUCAGAACUGAUGGUGAACAAUUCCUCAAGUUUCCACCUGCUAAAGUGAUUCAAGGUUCUCUACCUUUGUCAAAACAGCCACUUCCUCAAAACUGACACUUGCAAGCAAAAAUGUAAUAACUUUUUUACAUUUAGCAGCUUGAAAGAAUGGAUAUUUUGACAAUGGUUAUUUCUUUUUAUAUGUUGAACACUGACUAAGUCAGAUUGGAAUACUGAUGAAGAAUUUGCAAGAGAGAUCAUUGCUGGUGUAAAUCCUGGUUUAGAUCACAUCCUUCAAGAGUUUCCUCCAAAAAGUAAGCUAGACAGUGAAGUCUAUGGGGAUCGUACAAGAACAAUAACCAAAGAACAAAUAGAGCUUAACUUAGAUGGGCUCACUGCAGAUCAGACUAUCCAGAACAAGAAAUUGUUCCUGCUAGAUCACCAUUUCAGCUGUUCGGAAGAUAGGACCUUUACUAAAGGUCCUCUCUUAGAAUCUUGAACCUUUGUAUUGAGUCAGUCUUGAAGAACUAUAGAAGUAGCUUAUAAAGUGGUGGUUCUCUCCUAAAGUUGGUUUGCUAUGGACUUUGGAACCUUUCUAUUGAAGUGAGUCUUGAAGAUCUAUUGAUCCAGCUAACAUAUUGGUGUAUUCAUUCAUUCUUUAACUAUUUAGUCAUUUCCUAAUUGCUAAAUUUCAUGUUUAACAUAUUGUGGUACAGUUUUAAAAUGAAAUAUAAGGCGAUUUUUGAUUGC